UAGGGUUUUUUCAUUAAAAUUCUUUAAUGGGCCUUUGGGCUUCCCAGCGGCCCAUAUCCACAACGAUUUCUACAAAAACGACGGGUCCAUAUUCGACCUCCGGAAUCGAUUCGCCGGUAAACACAAAACCUCCGUAGAAAGGUCCAACGGCACCAAUACGGCAAUGUCAGACCCAUUUAAGAGAAGUUCUCUCUAUCUCUCUUAUCUUUUUUUUCCAGAGAUCCUUCACUUUUUUUCUUCUCCUUGAGGUCAAAAACUCUAUUUCACUUACCGGCAAUCCAAUCUUCUCUUUGGAGAGUGUAUUCAAAUUAGAAUUUAAAAUGAUUUGAGCUUUCUUGAGUUAUCUAUCGAUUUUAAAAUUUCAUUCUCGACAAUUCACUGAUGCUUGUAGAUCAUGUUUGUUUUGAUGGUCUAAUCUAAAUUUGUAGGGAUUUGGAUCAUUGUUCAAUACUCAAGUCUUGUUUAAGUUUAUGAACUAUAUCAAUGGAUAAAGCAGAACUAACUUUGGAACAAGUUUGUGAUUUGAUUUUGCAAUAUAGUUAA
rnacentral:sRNA from 1 species